UACGUAGGAGGCAAGCGUUAUCCGGAUUCACUGGGCGUAAAGCGCACGCAGGCGGUUAUGUAAGUCGGACGUGAAAGCUCCUGGCUCAACUGGGAGAGGUCGUUCGAUACUGCAUAGCUUGAGGUUGGGAGAGGGAAGCGGAAUUCCCGGUGUAGUGGUGGAAUGCGUAGAUAUCGGGAGGAACACCAGUGGCGAAAGCGGCUUCCUGGCCCAUACCUGACGCUCAGGUGCGAAAGCGUGGGGAGCGAACGGG
rnacentral:rRNA from 1 species